rnacentral:sRNA from 1 species
GCUGGGUGUGGUGGCGCACACCUGUCAUCCCAGCAACUCAGGAGGCUAAGGCAGGAGGAUCUGCAAAUUCGAGACCAGCCUCUA